UAGGGAAUCUUCCGCAAUGGACGAAAGUCUGACGGAGCAACGCCGCGUGAGUGAUGAAGGUUUUCGGAACGUAAAGCUCUGUUGUUAGGCAAGAACAAGUGCCGUUCGAUUAGGGCGGUACCUUGACGGUACCUAACCAGAAAGCCACGGCUAACUACGUGCCAGCAGCCGCGGUAAUACGUAGGUGGCGAGCGUUGUCCGGAAUUAUUGGGCGUAAAGGGCUCGCAGGCGGUUUCUUCAGUCUGAUGUGAAAGCCCCCGGCUCAACCGGGGAGGGUCAUUGGAAACUGGGGAACUUGAGUGCAGAAGAGGAGAGUGGAAUUCCACGUGUAGCGGUGAAAUGCGUAGAGAUGUGGAGGAACACCAGUGGCGAAGGCGACUCUCUGGUCUGUAACUGACGCUGAGGAGCGAAAGCGUGGGGAGCGAACAGGAUUAGAUACCCUGGUAGUCCACGCCGUAAACGAUGAGUGCUAAGUGUUAGGGGGUUUCCGCCCCUUAGUGCUGCAGCUAACGCAUUAAGCACUCCGCCUGGGGAGUACGGUCGCAAGACUGAAACUCAAAGGAAUUGACGGGGGCCCGCACAAGCGGUGGAGCAUGUGGUUUAAUUCGAA
rnacentral:rRNA from 1 species